rnacentral:tRNA from 1 species
GCCCUGGUGGCUUAAUGGUUAAGUGCUUGACUGCUAACCAAAAAGUCAGUGGUUUGAACCCACCAGUGGCU